CCUACGGGUUGCACCAGUGGGGAAUAUUGCACAAUGGGCGCAAGCCUGAUGCAGCCAUGCCGCGUGUAUGAAGAAGGCCUUCGGGUUGUAAAGUACUUUCAGCGGGGAGGAAGGUGUUGUGGUUAAUAACCGCAGCAAUUGACGUUACCCGCAGAAGAAGCACCGGCUAACUCCGUGCCAGCAGCCGCGGUAAUACGGAGGGCGCAAGCGUUAAUCGGAAUUACUGGGCGUAAAGCGCACGCAGGCGGUCUGUCAAGUCGGAUGUGAAAUCCCCGGGCUCAACCUGGGAACCGCAUUCGAAACUGGCAGGCUAGAGUCUUGUAGAGGGGGGUAGAAUUCCAGGUGUAGCGGUGAAAUGCGUAGAGAUCUGGAGGAAUACCGGUGGCGAAGGCGGCCCCCUGGACAAAG
rnacentral:rRNA from 1 species